AUCACAAGCAGCUGACAAGAUCUCUAGGACAAGGUAAGUGGCUAAAAAUAUCCACUCUACUGAUGCUGAAGUAGGCCUCAUCCCUGGAACUCAAGGAGGGUCUGUAAAGAUUACUACUAGGUGUUAAAGAUGGGUCAGAAGAAGACCGAUCUCCACGACGAGUAUUUGUAAACUAGGAAACCAAGCCAGUGCUUUUCUUUGAGACAUAUACCUCUGGUUGGUUGCUGAGAAAACAGAGGAAUUUAUAUAGAAAAAGAAAGGAACUUUCGAAGAUGGAUCCUCUGUUUUCUUUCUUUAAUUAUCUGAUUUACAUCCCGCCUAAACUGAAAACAAUGAGAAGAAGAUGGCCCACACGGUGUCAUGGGUUUAGUGGAGAAGAGGUUCUAGUAAGGGCAAUAAUGGAAAGGAGAGAGCUUAUUGGAAAAUCGCAGUGUGGUGCUAUGAACUUCAAUAUGUUGUCUUCACUCUCUCAAUUUUUUUUUAUAUUCAUUGACUUUAUAAUGAUACCUUCCACACGGUUUGUACAAGCUUUAUAUUAAAAAUACAACGAUGAGCUGUCAAAUACAGCUGCAUAAGAUUAGUUGUAGAGAGUUAACUAGGACUAACAAACAAACGAUUUAGUGUGAACUGUUGACUCAAACUACGCUUUCCACGUGGUUAUAUUGUAGUUGGUUCAACCUCACUGGAGUCUUGCUUUCGUUGAAGUUUCUGUUUUGGGUUGUUUUUUCUCUUUUUGGGUAUGCACUAGGGGUGGGCAUCGGGACCGGAAAACCGGAACACCGAACCGAACCGGUGAAAAAAAACCGGAAAAAAAACCGGUUGACCAAAAAAGUCAACAAACCGGACCGAACCGGUUCCGGUUUUACAUCUCUCCGCACCGGACCGGACCGAACUGGACCGGUCAUAUAUUUUAUAUUUAUAUUUUUACAAAAUUUUAAAAUCUAAUGCCAUAUUUUAACUUUUAUAAUCACUAAUUUUCCAAGUUCAACUUCAAAAAAUUUCUAAAUGUAUGAAUUGGAUUAUUUGUUCAUUUUUAAGCUAAAAAAAUAAGUUUUUUAUUAUAAUUUUUUUAUAAAAAAAAAUUUAAAAUUUUUUUUUAAAAAAAAAAAAUUAAAAAAUUAAAAAAUUAAUAAUCCGGUUCAAAACCGGAACCGGUCAGAACCGGACUGGAACCGGUUAGAACCGAACCGGCCGGUUUUUGAAAUUUUUUUUGCCUAAACCGGACCGAACCGGACCGGUUAAAUAAUACCGGUUUCGGUUCCGGUUUGAGGUGAGAACCGGACCGAACCGGACCGCGCCCACCCCUAGUAUGCACUGGAAGGUUAAAGGGUUUUGAGGAAAUUUCAUGGCUUUGGACAAUUGGGCCUUUUGGGAGAGUUUGAUUGUAUAGGCUGAGGCUGAGUCUUGUGCAUUUGGGUCUUUUGCUUUUAUAACAUGCAUCAAUUGUGUUGAUACCAUCAUGGGCCUCACGUGCUUUCUCCAAUAUAGCGACCUCCCACGCGGGUUAAGUCUCAUAUACCCUAUGAUCUGACAAGGCAAGAAACCCAUGCACUUAAAGGAAGGCCCACGCCUCCUCCUAGCUGGCCUAACAUGCCUAAGCAAGUAGACCACUUAAGUUGGUCUCCCACAUGCCGAAAGUACCAAGAUUGGCCUCUUUCCUGUGCCUCAGGUGGCCAACCCAAGCUGCCCAUUAAACAAGGGGCACGCAUGGCCCCCCUCUUCUUCCUAUAUAAUGUAAGAGGCCCAACUCCCAUUGACAAGGGCUUAUGACAGACCUCAAGCAGGCUCUCCAUGCAUAUUGUAAUAGUCAUUUAUAGUGAAAUAUAAAUACCAAGCUUUACAGUGGAUGUAGCGCGAUUCAUGGGUGAGCCACUCUAAAUCUGUGUAAUGUGUGUGAUUGUCCAUAUAUCCUCGGGACUCUGCUAAAUCACCCGUCAACAAAUUGUGUUUGUAUUUGAACUCCGUUGAUUUGGCUGCUUUAGCCUCCUUUGCUUGGGUUGUUUUUUCUCUUAUUGGGUACGCACUGGAACAUUAAAUGGUUUUGAGGAAAUUUCAUGGCUUUGGGCAAUUGCGACUCCACAAGAAUAAAAGACAAUGAAAAUACAAAAAAUUUCCUUCAAAUUUUAUUUCAUUAUUUUGUGUUUACCAUUUUGCCCUCAUAUUUUAAAGAAUCAUAUGUUUUAGUACAUUUAUUUCUCAAGGGCGUUAAAGAACUUUCAAAAUUUUAACCCUUCUAUUGUCUGAUUGGUAAGAGCAUCCACAGUGAUGCUCUCUAUUUCUUAGCUAAAAUUUAGCUAAAAAUAUGAGAAAGCUAUUUUUAGGAGCUCUGUAAAAAAUUUCAACUCCAACCAUACUUCAUAAUUUGGAGAGUCAUAAAUGCUAUAACUCUUUUUUAUUGGUCCAUCUCUAUUAAAAAAUAAAAUUAAAAAUAGUUAGCAUUAAAUAAAGGUUUGAAAUACUCAUUAAAUUAUAGGGAGCCACUAGGAGUCAUUUCUCUCUCCUUAGAUUUAGGAGCUAAUAGAGGACUCCCUAUUUUAGGAGGUGAAUAGGGAGCAUGAUUGGGGUUGCAUUUUUACGAUUCCGUCCUAAAAUUAUCUAAGGAGGUGGUUUAGGGAGCUCAUUAUGGAUGCUCUAAGAAGAUAAUAAAAUCAAUGGAUGAAAAAACAUUUAUGAUAGAUUAUGGAUCAUAAAACCCAUAAAUUAUGGAUCAUAAAACCCAUAAAUUAUGGAUCCUAUUUUAGCUUAGUCUCAAUCUUUUAAAUGUUUCCAUUUUUUAACCCUUUUAGAAAUAUUAAAUUUGUUACGUUCCAAGUCAAUUUCUUCGUUACAUGCCACUACGUGACAAAUGUAGUUCUUAUCUCUGACAAUAUUUACAUAAAUUUGAGUUCACUUUUCUUGGAGGCAUGUCCACCUCCAUCAAUCCGCCUUCACUACUCGCCGAUGUCGCAGGAACUUCUGCUGCUCUUGCUCCUGCUCCAGCUCCAGCUGUCGCUGCAGCUCCUGCAGUCGCUCUUGCUGCUCCUGUAGCCGCUGAAGCUCUCGCCGCCGCCGCUGCUUCUGCUGUUCAUACUGCUCAUACUGCUCAUGUUGUUCAUGCAGCCACAUCUCCAGCAGCUGCUGCUGCUCAUGCGGUUGCCGCCGCUGCUCUUGCAGCCGAUGCUGCUCUAUGUUGCUUUCAACCUAAAAGGGUAAGAAAUUUAGUGUGCAUGAAAAGACUUAAACCUUGACCCUCAAAGGAGGAAAGCCUUGUUCACAACCACAUUACCAAUCUUAUUUUUGUGGUAUUUUGUCAGUUACGCAAUAUUUAUAUUAAUGGUCAAUGAUUUUUAUAUAUAUAUAUAUAUAUAAAUUUCACAUAUGGGCCUCCUCUUUAGCUUAAUUCAAAACAAAAUUUCAUUCAUAGACAUUAAAACCCAAACAAAAAUACUCGGUCUCAAAUCCUAAUUCAUCAUUAUGUCUAAUACCUAAUUUUUCUUUAUUGUAUUCAAUCCCAAUGUGGCCUUCCCAAAGUGAGCUCCAAAUUGACAUUCUGUGAUACAUAUGGGACUUCAUCAUCUUUAUCACGUAGGCCUUCAUAUGGGACUUCAUCAUGUCCUCCCGAAACAAAAGAUAUGUAUGUGUCUAUAUAUAUACAAAUACGAUAAAGAAAUAAAAGGAUAAAUUUCACUUUACUAUCCAGAGAAAGAUGGAAAUAUAAUUUCUUUUAUUUUUGUUCAGUUAUUCCCAUGAUAUAUAUACAAAUGACAACUUUUAAAUUGAUCUUUCAAGGUUAUAUAUGUGCAUAUAUGUAUGUUUUGGAAAUAAUUUACUUUAAAUCAUAAUUAAAUUGGUACCCCUACCUCUUGAUCAUAAAGAAAUGGUAGAUCUGCCUUGAUUGCAUGCCACGAAGUUUCUUCCGUGCUACAAACCAACAGAUUGAGAGAAUAUUUUCUAUCAGUGGAAUGGAAGCCAUGCAUACAGAUGAAAAAGCAAACAGAGAAAAGAAAGCAAUCUUGUUUAUUAGAGAUACAGAGCUAGCUCCCCUCGCAGUUUAGUCUUUACAUUUUGUGCUGAUUGAAAUAAAGUAGAAUUCCCAUGUGAUAUGAUAUCCAUUAAAAUCCCCCUUAAUUAUUUCUUAAAAUUUCCAUCUCGUCUCCUUUCAAAACUAAAUAAAUAAGACUAAAAAGCUGCAAAAAGAUUAUGCAAAUUAAUUAAGCAGCCGAUGAGCAGUUUAAUUCGAGCUUACCUUGAAGAAUUUUCGCACGAGUCCUUGUUAUCAGUGGUAUUCGCGUUCAUUCGGUUAUUACAUAGUUUUGAACCACCUAAACACAUAAGAAAUAUGGCAGGCAAAAGGGAUGCUUUGAAAGGACUAUUAGCAUGCCGAAGGCAGUAAACAUACUGAACUAUAGAGCAAAUGCACUGUGAGAUGCCAGCAACUAGUCCAUAAAUGUCAGGAAGAGUACCAAAAGGCGUAUGUCGAGGAGGUGGUGUAUGAUAAAACCACCAGAGCAUUCCCCAUCUCCUCAACACAACUCUUUCCUUUUUACCUCUGUAAAUUAGCUCCCAGAUGGAAAUGAGCACAGCUGCAAUAGCGAACAGCAUCCCAAAUAGGGCAUAGUGGGGUGUUCUUGGGGAGGAAGCCUGAUCACAAGCAGCUGACAAGAUCUCUAGGCCAAGGCCAGUGGCUAAAAAUAUCCACUCUGCUGAUUCUGAAGUAGCCCUCAUCCCUGAAACUCAAGGAGGGUUUGUAAAGAUUACUAGUAGGUGUUAAAUAUGGCUCAGAAGAAGACUGAUCUCCACGACGAGUAUUUGCAAACCAGGAAACCAGUUGUUGCUCUCUCAAUUUCCAUAGCUAAUAAGCAAGUGCUUUUCUUUGAGACAUAAAU
rnacentral:lncRNA from 1 species